AAAUAAAUGAUUAUUUCGGACCAUCAAAACAUCAUCAAUUAUCAAGUCAUUUAAUAAAAUACGUAGAUUAUAAAGGACAAAUUUCAAGGACGAAAAGAGCCUUUCAACACUAACACUAGUCGGUGGUGUCGCCAAAACUAUUUUUGCCAGGUUAUAUAAAUAUGGAUCAGUCAUCUUUCUCUGCUCCCAAUACUCUAAAAUACUGCGUUUAGAUAGUAAUACUGGUUCUUGAAAAAAAGCAACUACCUUAAAAUUGAUUUCUCUUUCUAAUGAUUGUAAAUUCUGUUCAUCUACAUUUAUAUGUCUGUUAGUAACAAAAUGUUGUCGAAGGUAGCUGUCAAAAUUUGAUGAAUCAAGUUCUGCUGAAGUUCCUGGAACAACGCUAUUGUUAACACCCGGAUUGAAAGGUUCUGAAGUAGCUUCUGCAGUCGUUCUUCUUUUUUAAAUUAGUCAACCUUUUAUAUGUUUCAACUAAGACAGCCCUUGCACUGUUUUGUUGUGCUGUCGUAAGUGUAGCAUUUACUCUCGGGUCCAGAUAAAGAGCUGCAAGAAAGUGUUCAUUGCUAAAAAGUACGUCUUGACGACUUCUUAAACAGGACAGCAAACGCCGGGCAAAAGGGCUAUGUAGUUGUUCGACUUCAAGGCGACACUUCAUCCAAGCAAUGUAAAAAUCGCCAAAAGUCAGUUGUUCCAUUUGUAAGAAAAGAGUAUCCCCUUCUAGAAUAUUUUUGAUUGGCUUUGUUAUGUCCCUAGGUCCCUACGUUUUAGUUUCCGUCUAUACCUAUUAAUAGAUAAAUAUUAUAAAUGCGAAAGUAACUCUCUCUGUCGGUCUCAUACUUCUUGCUAUUUUUUUCCAUUAUUUCAAAUAUUAAAAUAAAUAUUUUUUAUGCGCAUUAUCUACAUUGUAUUUUUGUUUUCAGGGCAACCAUGGCGCAAACUUGUUACGUCAUUUUUAUUCUCAUCAUAGAGCAAAAUACGAAGAAAUCCACCAUACAAAUUUGGCUGCUAAAGAAAAUAUACCGCCGCAAACGUCGAACGUCACCAAAAGUGUAAUGCAAGGCUGCACGAAACUUGUAACAGAUCAUGGUCGUCCUUUUAGCCUAAUUGAAGACAAAGCUUUCAGAGACCUUAUAAAGCUAAUACCAGGGGUUACACAAAACCAGCAUCAAGCAAUUAAUAUCAAAAAUGUACGUUCCAGUAUACAGGAUAUGGCUCAUGAAAUUCGCGGAAAGAUUAGUAACGAGAUAAAAAAUAAUCUACUUGCAAUUAAAGUAGACGUUGCGUCCAUUAAUUUGCGAAGGUUUCUGGGCCUAAAUAUACAGUAUGUCAUGGGUAAGUACCUAAAGAGUAAUUUUCAGACUAAAGUUAAGAUAUACUUUUUUUUAAUGUUAUUUAUAUUUCAAUUUUAGAUGGAAAGAUUGUUCUUCGAAAUUUAACUAUUAAAGAAUUGAACGAUAAAAAUACAGGACAGUAUUUAAAGGACAAUGUAGCCGAUUGUCUGAGUAGGUACGGCGGGUAACCUAAACCAAAUUCAAACAAUCACUACUGACAAUGGAGCCAAUAUGAUAAGUAUGACUAACCAAAUAAACGAGGCAGCUAGGGAGUCAAUGAACCAGUCGGUAAGCGAAUCAUUUAGUGAAUCGGACAUCGAAACGGACGGUGAAUACAACGAGGAGGACUCUGCUUUUGUUCAACAGAGUGUAGACUUGGACAUUGGCACAGGUAGCACAUCUGGUACAGUUCGCACGGUUACAAGCAUACGAUGUGCUGCACACUGUCUACAGCUCGCCGUCAAAGAUGCCUGUCAAGAAAUAGAGGAAUUUCUUGGGCAUUGCCGAAGAAUUGCUCGUAAUUUACGUACGCCCAAUAUGGCAAUGCGUUUAAAAAUACUUAAACUGCAAAAUGCAGUGAUUGAUACUCCCAUUCGAUGGGAUUCUACCGUAGUUAUGCUUGAAAGACUGCAUAAACUUUUGCAUCGUUAAUCUAUAUUCUGAACCAGAAGUCAUUUGGGAUUCGAUUGAAAAUUAUUUAAAUAUCCUACGGCAGUGCAGGGCUUUAACAAAAAAAUGGUUUAGUCUAAGAAUGACUGAUUCGCGAAAUGACUACAUGGUCUAUAAUUGACCAAUUCUUGAAAUGUACAAUUCUUUAAAUGACUGAUUCUACAAAUGACAGAUUCUAUAAAAGACCGAUUCUAUAAAUGACCGAUUCUUCAAAUAACUGAUUUUUAAAGUCUAUGAAUGUGUGUGAAUAUCGUAAAAUUAAAUGUAUUGAUGCCGAAAAAACCAAGUCUCUUUUACUUUAUACAAAAGUUGAAGCAAGAAGCCAAACACUGUGUGUGUGCCCCAGUUAUUGGAAGAGGUCCCUCUCUCGUUGUUACGACGACCCGUGUUUUACCAACAUGAUGGAGCUCCCGCGCAUUUCACGUGGAACGUUCGACGGCAUCUUGAUGCGGAGUAUGGCUCUCAUUGGAUUGGACGUGGAGGACCUAUUGAGUACGAGCGUAGUGUAUGGAAGGGAUAUAGUAAACGAUGGCAGCGCACGGUGUGGCAGAAUUGUGUAACAAAAGGGGUUAGUGAAACUUGUCAAACACUGUUUUGAAAAUGGGUCAUUAUUCUUGUUGUGUUAUAAACUGCAAAAAUACCAGUGGAAAUAGUCAGUGUAAAUUCUAUAUUUUUCCAAAAGCAGCCUGGAAAAUAGAUCAAAGAAUUAAAUGGAUAGCUGCAGUUAAAAGGAAAAAUGAUGAUGGAUCGCCAUGGCAUCCAAAACCCGACGACAAAAUAUGCAGUGAUCAUUUCAUAGGAGGCAAAAAAUCAGACGCGCAAGCAAGUCCAAGCUAUGUGCCCAUGAUACUACCCAAAGUAUAUCGGAAGAGGAAGGUUAACGAGCCACAUGUACAAGCUAGAUAUACACGCCUGAUUAAACGAAGAACCACAAAAGCUGCAGCAGAUAUCUUGGAAGUCUCGGAUACCACAACAAAUGAAAUAAUAAUGGAAAUAGGAAAUCAAACUCAACCUCGUCUGGUGAAUCAAGGAUGUCAAGUUAAUAUCUUUUCUGAAAUCAAUUUAUGGGAAACAACCUUUAUUUGCAAUAGUUUUAUUUACACUGAUCACUGUGAUGCUGAAAUUCAAGUAGAUAUUGCAACAACUACAAAAAUUGUAACAACAACUAAUCCCAGAAAAAAAGAUAAAAGCUGUUGCACCAACAAAAAAUCAUUUCAAGACCAGUCUUCUGAAACUACAAGCCGAGAAUUUGCUGGUAUCUCAUCAAUAAAAAAUGACUAUGAACUGCUAGAUCUUGCUGGCGUGUCAUUCAAUAAUUUCGAUUUUUUACUAACCAAAUUAACUGUGACUAAAUGUACAGUUUCAAUGAAAGACCGGCUUCUAAUAUUUUUAAUGAAAAUGAAAACUGGCUUAACAUUUUCAGCUUUGAGUGUGUUAUUUGGUAAACACAGAACAACUAUCUCACGAAUUUUUCAUUCAAUCUUAAAAAUUUAGCUUCUGCAUCUGCUAAUUUGGUAUUUUGGCCUACUAGGGCUGCAGUACAGGGAACAAUGCCAGAAUGUUUCAGUCCAGAUUACACCAAUACAAGAGUAAUUAUUGACUGCACCGAAUUCAGAAUAGAAGUACCAUCAGCAGUGGAUGAUCGUGUUGCUUGUUACUCCCAUUACAAAAAAAGUUUCACUGCAAAAGUUCUUAUAGGAAUUACUCCCGGAGGAUUUAUUUCAUUCAAAUCCAAAGUAGCGGGUGGGAGAAAAACAGACUCACAAAUAACAGUAGAAUCUGGUUUAAUUGAUCUUCUAGAAGCUGGAGAUGUAGUUUUAGCAGAUAAAGGUUUUCCUGCGAUUAAACAAGUUCUAGAUCAAAGUGGUCAAGAAAUUAGAAUUAUUAUGCCUCCAUUUUUGUCAAAGAAAAAAGAAUUCUCUCAAGAAGAAACUGAAAGGACUUAUGAUAUUGCUCGAGUAAGAAUCCAUGUCGAAA